rnacentral:rRNA from 1 species
UACGGAGGGUGCAAGCGUUAUCCGGAUUCACUGGGUUUAAAGGGUGCGUAGGCGGCUAUGUAAGUCCGUGGUGAAAUCUCUGGGCUUAACCCGGAAACUGCCAUGGAUACUAUGUGUCUUGAAUGUUGUUGAGGUGAGCGGAAUAUGUCAUGUAGCGGUGAAAUGCUUAGAUAUGACAUAGAACACCAAUUGCGAAGGCAGCUCACUAAGCAAAUAUUGACGCUGAGGCACGAAAGCGUGGGGAUCAAACAGG